rnacentral:lncRNA from 1 species
AUGUAUAGUAUGUAUACAAGCUUAUAACAUAUUUAUACCUGUUCUUUUUUCUUUUUUCUUUUUUCUUUUUUUUUUUUGGUGAAGGCAACUGAUAUACGAGCAAAAUUGUUUUCAAAAUACUCAUGAAAACUGUAAAGAAAUGGACAAGUUUUAUAAAAUAUUAUCUGGGAUGCAAGCUAACAUAGCCACUUUAUCUUCUGAAUAUUUUUAUUUAAAAAAUGAUUACGUUUUUGGAGAUAAAUAUCCCGAUGCUAUGCUCAAAAAUGAUUAUUAUAAAAAAAAAAAUUAUAACUAUAAUAUAACAUUUUUUCAAGAAAAAAUUGGUUUAUUUCCUGAUCGAAUAGAAAAUCUCUAUUUUACUUUUGCUAUUUUAUUAAGAGCAUUGUGUAGAUUGAAAUUUUUAUUUAAACUGUGCAAAUGUAACUCGGGUUUUAGUGAUAACGAUAAAGAAGCUGUUAAGAUUUUGGGAGAUCUUUUAAGCAAUAACUAUCAUUCAUGUUCUUCUGAAACAUUUUUAAAACCACUUUUUCCAACAAAAUGGAAAGAUAUAUUAUCCAAGUUUGCAAUGAUAACAAAUAUAUUAGAUUGUGUACCUUGUGUUAAAUGUAGAUUACAUGGGAAGUUAAAAACUACAGCAUUGCAAAUUGCGUUAGUUGAAGGAGUAAGUUAUGAACAUAUUAGGUCCCUUGAAAGAAAUGAAAUAACUGCAUUGAUUAAUGCAAUUUACUAUUUUGCAGAUUCCAUACUAAUUAUAAACAAGUAAAGUUGUCCACUUAUUCGUUUGUUUGUCCACCUACUCAUUUGUUUGUCCACCUACUCAUUUGUUUGUCCGUUUUUUCGCUUAUCCAUUUUUAGGUUCGAAAAGAGACUAAAACUGAAGAAAAAGCUUUUUUUUCUUUUAUUUUUUUUCCAUUCUAUUUUUCGUCACUUUAGUCAUAUAUUCCCUAAUUUUUAUAUCAAGAAGAAAAAAAAAACAAAAGAUAAAUUAAAAUUAAAAUAAAAAUUAGAAUUAAAAUAAAAAUAAA